ACGAGAUCAAGACUGCACUGAUGAAGGAAAUAGAGGAGCUGCAGAGCGAGUACAAGAACGCAGGGGUUUCUAACUCGUUGGUCCUAACACUGGCCCCAACACUGACCCCGGAACCACCUGAAGAGGUGGUUCUUCGCAUGACCAUAACUGGGUUAGAAAACAAGAUCGAGAUGAAGACUUAACUUCUACAGUCCUUGGACCUCCAGCAGGAUUAGGGUUGUCGACCUAUUAUCGGAGACUGCACUGAUGAAGGAGAUAGAGGAGCUGCAGAGAGAGUUUAACAAGAAAGCAGGGGUUUCUUGGCCCCAGCCAUGCUUUCAACCCAGAAUGCCAAGGUCCUACCUGUGAUGAAGACAAAUAUGGAACUGACCACAAAGCCCUCUGUCUGCCCCUACCAAGAACAUUUGGUUUCAGGCUUUAGAUCAAAGUCACGUCCCAAGGCACAGUUUGGACAGCAUGGUUCUAGGAAAACCAUGCCAACCCAGUUUAGCCUAGGUUCCAAAACUUCUGACUGCAGUCAGCGAAACAUUCACCGUUCCAUCACAGGCCAAACAAAAACAAGGAGAGAUCUACCCAGACAGGAUUAUCCUAAUGACCACGGUGACUACAGUCACAUUCAUUUCCACAUGGCUAGAGUUACCUCUCCGCAUGUAACUCAAACUGUUGAGGCUUGCUAAGAAGCAGUCAAUGAGAAAGUACUAUCCAUACCCCAAGUUCUUGGACUUGCAUAGACCGAUAUGGAAACUGCACCUGCAGAUCUAUGAUUAAGUUGGUCCAUUCCCUAAGUGUUUGGCCUGGCAUCGACCGAUAUGGAAACUGCGCAUACUGCAAAUAGUCUCACCGCAUAUUCAUUUAAAAACAUUUUCAUUAAUCUCAUUAACAUGAGUUUUUAUUCUGUGAUCGUGAAUAGGCUACAUACAAGUUCAAAAUAAAAAUCUUUUUUUUGUGUGA